GACGAACGCUGGCGGCGUGCUUAACACAUGCAAGUCGAACGAAGAGCGAUGGAAGCUUGCUUCUAUCAAUCUUAGUGGCGAACGGGUGAGUAACGCGUAAUCAACCUGCCCUUCAGAGGGGGACAACAGUUGGAAACGACUGCUAAUACCGCAUACGAUCUAAUCUCGGCAUCGAGGAUAGAUGAAAGGUGGCCUCUACAUGUAAGCUAUCACUGAAGGAGGGGAUUGCGUCUGAUUAGCUAGUUGGAGGGGUAACGGCCCACCAAGGCGAUGAUCAGUAGCCGGUCUGAGAGGAUGAACGGCCACAUUGGGACUGAGACACGGCCCAGACUCCUACGGGAGGCAGCAGUGGGGAAUCUUCCGCAAUGGACGAAAGUCUGACGGAGCAACGCCGCGUGAGGGAUGACGGCCUUCGGGUUGUAAAGCUCUGUUAAUCGGGACGAAAGGCCUUCUUGCGAACAGUUAGAAGGAUUGACGGUACCGGAAUAGAAAGCCACGGCUAACUACGUG
rnacentral:rRNA from 1 species